UCGUACCACUACAUACCAGCCUGGGUGACAGAGUGAGACCCAAUCUCAAAAACAUAAAUAAAUAAAUAAACCAGAGGCAGAGAGGGCCAAAAAAGUUGAUGAUUCUGAUGGUAGGGGGAUAAAAAGAAAUCUAAGACAUUCUCAGGCUCAACUUGUGGGGUCAACACCUAGGUGGGCUUGACACCAUCCACUGGGACUGGAAGGGCUGGGAGUGGCCAGGCUUGGAGAAAGACCUGGGUUCCAUCCUGCACGUGGCAAGCUUGAGAUGCUUUUGAAACAUACAAGUCUAGAAGAACAACAGGUCAGGGGAAGAGAUGUAAAAAUCUGGCAGUCAACAACAAAUUAGCAUGUAAAGAGAGAAAGAGACAGACAAGAAGAGUUUGGUAACCUCAAACAAAUCAGUCCAUGGACUGAGUGGUAGUUUUCUCAUUUGUAAAACCUGGGUAAUGUCUGAGGCACUUCCAGAGAAUGUUAUGAGACCAAUCGCUGAGGGUCAGAAGUUUCCUACCAUCUGUUCCUUUAGAGAGGAUUUGUCAAGCAAGCCUGGCCCUGGGUCUGGUUUGGACUGUCCUACCAAAGCAGAACAGCUUGGGACAGUCACAAUCAUUGCCACACAGGUCACCCUUUUCUGUAAUUAGGCCUUUGCAAUAAAACUCACUGUCUUAUGCAGAGACACAAAUGGGGGAGGUCUAAAAAAGACGAUAUUAUUUUCCUGUUUAGGGUUCACGGUUAACUGACAUACCUGUAGGUUUGGUUCCUAUGGAGAAGUGUGGCUAUCACCCUGUGGACAGGACAGAGGUGGCCCAUCCUUUUCCAACUCCCCCACCUCUAUCCCAGCCUCCCUGACUACAGAGAACCCCUCAUGACUAUUAUUAAAGGCCUAAGUGAGACUGUGGGAUCCUGGCCAAACACACCCCAUUCGUACAACCAACUAUCGACAGCUAUGGCUGCCAAGUAAACAAUCCACGGAGCUGGGCAAGUGGGUGCAUGUGACAACUCUCUCCAGCCACCCUACUGCCCCUACCACAAGGCACAACCUAAGUGUUUGGGUUUCUGUGGGUAGAGGAAAGUGUUUGUGAAUGGUGUCAGGUUUUUCUGUGUCUAAAUCCUGAAUCUCCUUUUCCUUCUCUUCCAUAAUUAUCCAUCAAAUCAAAUCACAUCACCAGAGAGAAAUCCACAGCCAAAGCUUGCCCUCAUCAACUCAUCUCCAAAGAAAGAUUCAGACACACACAGGAAAUGAAUCAUUCAGAUACUUCCCCACAACAAACUUGAUCCUAAACUCCCUUUCCUGCCCUCCCCGCUUAAGAACCCCCUGCCCUGACCCAAAGCCCACGAAGCACCCAAAAUCACCAGUGGCAGACACGGAUGUCAUUUAGGAAUAAUGGGCUGCAUUCGCAGGAAGGAGUGAGGCAGCCAGCAGAUUUGCCCCAGUUGCCCCAGAGGAGGCUGUGGACUGGCCUGAGAGCCAUCCACUUGACCCUGGCUGGACCAGUCCUGCACGCUGCAUCACGAGGCACAGUGUGACUCAUCUGUCAAUGCCCAGCUCUAAGCUCACUUUUUCCAGGAAGCCUUCCUUGACCAUUUUUAGCCUCUGCUAACGACUCGUUCUUUGAAAUUACGAUACUUAAAUUUAUCCUGUUCAUUUGGCACUUACCACAUACUGCAGAGUGAUAUGUGUUAGACUGUACCUUGCACUUAAUAUUUUGCUCAUGCAUUAAACAGUGUGCGAGAGUCCGUAUGUUUGGAUGCACAUGGAUGUGUAUGUUUGCAUGUGCUAUCUUAACUUCUUUGUUCAAUUUCCUUUGAGCUAUGACCAUUGACAAUCCUUUCCCUAAGAAGGUACAAUCAAGAUAUAAUUAUCACAAAUAUAGCUACGUUGACGUUUACAGUUCAAAGCCAGAAAAGCUCCUCCAAGAUAUUUGUAAGCCUAUGUUGAAUUUGUGUUUAGUAGCAUCACCUCUACUUUCCAUAACUAUACCUCAGGGCAAUCAAUAGAGGAGUUCAGGUAAGUAUCUCUGGAGCAAAACCAAGUAAUCAAGUAUUCAUGGAGUGUUUACCGUAUAACUUUGGAAUUAUGCUCAGUGUACAUAUAAAGGCAUUUUAGAACCUCCCCCACAAAAUAAGCUUUCUCAUUAAUUAGAAGACAAUCCUUCCACAGCAUUCCAUUCCUAAGCACUGUUGUUAAGUAAGUUCUACUGAAAGGAAGUCCUUGAUCUUUGAAGCAGAAUAAAUUCCUGAAAAAGGCUCUGUAAGUUGAAAUGUAAAUCAAAUCUAACUUUUACCACAGAAACAACGUUAAAUUAGACAAUUAUGUUCUGGACCAAAGACCAAUUGCCAGUAUUUAAAAGGAAUAAUUACAUUUUAUUUCAAAGAGUUAUAAAUUGCAAGUAAUCCUAACGAUUAUCCAUAUAGCUAAGGACCAUAAUCAUAAUAGUUACCACUAUAGAACGAUGCCAGAGAUUAUGCUAGAUGCAUUUCAUAUAUUCAGCAUGUAAUUUCUCCCAAUAGCCCUAGGAACCAAAUCUUUCACUUUACAAAAGAGAAAACCAAGGCCUAGGGCUGCUGUGUUUCAACUAAGGCUCUGCAGCUACUUAAUGGCAGAGCAAGAAUUUAAACUCAGAAGUAUCUGGCCCUAAAGUCAAAGAUCUUUCUACUAUCCCAAAUAGCCUCCCCAAAUCAAUUAUAAAGAAUAUAUUUAAUACUGCAUAGUUGAAUGCCUGAUAUCAAUUAGACAGAGUUCUAGAGAAACAAUCAUAUUUUAUCAAAUGGAUUUAGUAAGAGUUCCAAGACAAGGACCAUCUCUGAAAGGCAAGGGUACCCUAAUACUAGUAGGGAGAGUUCAGACAGGGCCUGAGACAGCGAAUUAUUAGAAUCGUCACUGUAUAUGGAGACCUAACACAUUCACUCCUUUAACAAAAUAUUGAAUAAGUACCUACUAUGUGCCAGGCACUCUUCUAAGUGCUAUGGAUACAACAGUAAACAGAGUCCUCCAUUGUGGAACCCACAUUCUAGUGGAGAGCACAGAGAUGACAACCCCUGGCCAACAUGUAUGCCUAAGCCAGUGAGCAGUGGUAAGCACUUGGGAGGGUAAGUAGGACAGGGUGUGCCUCUCCAAGGGCAGAGGGACGUGAGAGCUUACAGUGUGGAAGGGAGGCCUCAACUGGAGAUGCACGAGAUGUUGGCUUCUGGAUAGAUUUGAAACUCCAGACUCGGUAAGAUCAUUGAGGGAGUGACUGCUGAUGGAAACAGGAGGAGAAGGUCUCAAGACUCCUCCAGGCACUCCAACAAGACAACAAAUGGCCAGGAAGAAUCAGGAAAGGAGACUGAGAGGAAAUAACAGUGAGGCAGGGGGGAACACCAAGAUAGUGUGGUAUCCUGGGAGCCAGGAGAAGAUGAGAAGUGCAUUAAGGAGGGAGGAUGUUAGAUGUGGAAUUAAGUACAGUGAGGGAUGGAAACUGACACUGGAUUUAACAGCAGGAAGACCAGUUGUGAUCCUGAUGACAGCAGAUUUGGUAGGCUGGAGGGAGCAAAAACCUCAUGACGAUGAGUUCCAAGAGGAAUAUGAGAGGAGGAAUAGGCAGCAGGGAAUAUGGAAAAUAAUUUGAAGCAUUUAGUCACACAGGAAAAGAGAAAUGGGGUAGUAGCUAAUGGCUGAAAAGGAAUCAAUAAAGGGUUACCUAAGUGGGAGAUAUUAACAAGAAUAUGUUUGUGUGUAUUGACUGGGAAGAUCCAGUCUAGAAGAAAAAGCUGACAGAGCAGGAAAAACGCAGGAGAACUGCACUGCCAUAUACUUCAACAGGCAAGGCUGGAUGCAACCUGGUGUGCAAGUGAAGAAGCUGGCCUUAGCAAGGGGUGUGCAUGGUCACCCAUGCUAACAGGGGAGGCAGCAAUAUCUGUGGACAGAAAAUGUGGCAGUGGGCACUUUUGAGAAGUUCUCUCCUGGUAGCUUGAAUUUUCUCAGGGAAAUGGGAAGUAAAGCCAUCAGCUAAGAGUGAGGCUGGAAGGUGCUGGAGGUUUCAGGAGAGAGGAGAAUACAUGAAAUCACUCUCUAGAAAUGAGAAAGAAUGGUCCUGAAUGUAGCAUCAAUGCCAGUGGCAUGAAGUUCUUGCUUGAAGUUGGUGGUCAUUUUAAAGAAUACCAAUCAUCGUAGCUGAAUGACAUUUCCAGUCAUGCUUAGCUGCUCAGCUGCAGGUCCGUAAGAGGGUGAAGAGCUGCAGCGAAGCAAGUCUGAGGUCUUGCCAAGACAGUAUGCAGUACUACCCUCCCACCUUCUUUCCACAGAACUUCAUUAUUCACAAAUAGUCACAUGAUCUCAUUUGAUCCAAAUAGCCCCUUGAUGUGUCCAUCUCUGUUAAGGGAGCAUCCUGAGGCUCAAUUAGGUUAAACCACUUAUUUAGAGUCAUGAGGCAAGGUCUUCUAACCCCCAGCCUAGUGCUUUGCCCACGCCAUGCUCCUUUCAGUCAGAAAGAAACCUAUAAGGAGAACUCCUCAUUCUCUAGGAAUUCCUGAUGCAAGCCCGCCUUGCAAGACUGGCAAAAGCCUUGACCCUUGCUUCUGCCUCAGCCCGUCCAGCCAGCAGUGUAGAUAGUGUAUACAGCCCAGGCAGCGUACAUGACACAUGUCCAUAACUACACAGAGAUUAAGCAAUUAAGCUGUUCAUUGCAAUAAAGUAUUUAUUAAUGAAAAUAUUCUGAAAUCCAGACUUUGAGCUUGGCUUAUUUUUUAUGAAUACAUGGUUUUCUGUGAGUGGCUAUGUUGUCUGCCCUUUAUCUCUUAUUACAUUAAUCCUAGAGAGUAAGUUCUCACUCCUCUGUAAUCAAACACUUGAGGCUCACCCUCCGGUGAGGUGGGAGUAGAAAUACAGUUCUAUUUUGAAAGGUGGCUGAAUUCUUUAAGGUCACAGGGGCACCUUUAAAUGAAGCAAAGGCAGUAAUUUACUCAGAAGACACUUUGAGGUCUGACAUUUACGAAUACCCCAAGUAGGGAAUGGCUGUGUGUCUAACACCUUUUGUUCAACAGCACAGGAACUCAGAUGAGCAACAAAGCCUCUUUCAUAAUGAAAACUGUGUGCUCCCUACAGAUCCUGUACAGAGAUUGUAAAUAAAUUCUUAUAAUUUUAGUGUAAUGUUGGACAUCAACAAUAAUAAAUAAUAAAUAGGCCAAAGUGAACUUUAGCAAUGAAUUAUUAGUGAGCGUGUGCUGAAUUGGGGUACCAUGCCUCAGGUACCAUGCUAUGCAUCCACGGGAGAUCCUGCAGUGAAUAUAGCUGGUCCCUUCUCUCACCAAGAUUACUGUCUCCAUAAGACUCAAAGACAGUACCUAGAGGAAUUCAGAAUGGAAAUGCUACUUGGGCCAGGAGUUUGCAUAAGGAAUUACAGUGCUGCCUAAUCUGCUGCUCCCCUUGGGGAGGACGACUGCUACCCGCACGGCUUGUUAACAGAUAGAUGAAGAGUCUACCGUGAGCAAAGAGCAUGCCAGGCUCAAUCUGAGCCCUGAAGGAAAACAGCAGGGCUGACAGUAGGGAAAGAACUUAAGACAGACCUUUGUCUCAAGUUGCUUAGCAUGUGAUGGAAGAACACCCAUGCAAGAGCUGCCUAAGUGGUGCAAGUUUCCGACAGAGAGGCAAACAAGUUGCCGCAGGAGCUCUCGGGGAGGACUGGUGGGGCACAGGCCUGCUCCAGAGGCCCUCUCUGCCCUCCUUUCAGCCAACAGCUCCCUUUACUCAGCAAACAGCUCUCAAGUGGCUCCCAUGUGCCAAGCUGUGGCACAUGUGUGGAAGACACAGCAGUGAAAAAGACAAAGUCUCUAGUCCUCUAGGAAGUGACUUCCUAGUGGGGGGGGGGAAGCGAGGGAGGGCAGACAAUGAAUAUGUGUCAGGUGCCAUUUGGAACUCAGGGAGGGCUGGCAGAGAUGAAUGUGGGUGCUAUUAUGGGAGAGGGUGCUCAGGGAGGACCUCUCUGAGAAGAUGGCAUUUGAGCAGAGACUCAGGUGAUUAGGAGUAAACCAAACACCCAUCCAGGGAAGCACACACAGGUAGAAGGAAGAGGAGAACAAAUGCUUGGGGUGAAAGGGUGCCUGGCAUUCUGAAGAACAGCAAGGCAGUCACUCGUGCAGAGAGAAGGGGGAUGUCAGCAAGAGGUGAAGGGGGAGCAGGCACUGACAGAUCACAUACUCUCCAGGCUAUGGUAAGAACUUGCUAUGCUCUGAAAGCUGGGAAGACUUCAGACUGAUAGAUUUCCUUAGGGAGGUGUCUUCCCAUUGUCUAGAAAUUCUCAGAUACAGCAUUUAUAAAUUUUCAGUACCUAAUCAUUCUUCACUUUGGCCACCCAGAUUGGAAAAGGCUAAGAUGUAGAGAACUGGUAUUAUUUGCAAUUUGUCUGCUAUUUACAGUAUAAGUAAUACUUUCUACAGAGAAAGGGUCAUGGGAGAGAGCAGUUUGUGCCUCAGUAGGUGAGUGUACUACAAAUUCUAUUUGAUAUUACUCUGAUAUCACAUUUGGGGAGCAGAAGUAUUCCCAAUGGAGACUCUGGGUAUUCUAGUUCAAUUCCUCCAAUAGACAUUAUUAAGUACCAAACCACAUUAUCAGCUAUUUAAGACCAACGGGGUACAGUUACCUCCUACUUGAUAAAUAAGGCAACUUAAGCAUAGAAGAUGCAUUAUCUUGUUUUUCACCUUACGCAAUCAUACAUACAUACUACGAUUAGUAUAAAUCAUACUACACAAGCUUCCACAUACCUUUUGAAGUUCCUCAGUACAUUUUCUGGAAUUAUCAGUGCAACUGAACUUAAACAGAAGACACUAGUAAUCUAUCAGACUGACUUUCCUUCCCUUUCUCCCUCCUCUCCAUUUAACAAGAAUCAAAAGUUUUCUACAAGCCACUAUAUCGUGUGCAUUUGAGAUUUGGGCCACGUAGAUAAAUAGAGCUCAAGACACUCAAAUGAAAUUAUAUCUGCUAAAUUUUCAGCAAACGAGUCAAUGCAAUAGUAAUGACAAAUCAUCUUCCAAAGUCUCAAUGUGUGUAUGCGUGUGUGUGUGUGUGUGUGUGUGUGUGUGUGUGUGUGUUACAGUCAAAAAUUCUCCUGCAAUCUUGCUUUUAAAGAGUAGGAAGCUUUCCAAGAAUCUGCUGAUGACGGACUUGACUUACUGAUAUCAAGAAUUAUUAUAAAGGCAUACUAAUUAAUACAGUACAGUGCUGACAGACAAAUUUGUCACUAAACAAUGAACCCAGAAAUAGAUAUGGGCAUAUAAGGAAAUGUGAUUUGUUAUAAAGCAUGUAUUAUAGAGGUGGGGAAAGGGUUAGAUUUUAAGUAAUCUGUGCUGAAACACUGAUAAUCCACAUGGAAAAAAAUUAAACUGGGCCCCUACCUCACACCACACACAAAAAUCUACUAGGAAGCAACUGAAGACCUAAAUGCUAAAGGCAAAAAAAAAAAAAAAAAAAGUUU